AUUAGCGAAAGAGAGCUUCCUUCAGUCCACUCAUGGGUGGAUUUAGGGUUUAAUUAGCUGCCGACUCAUUCAUUCAAAUACUAAGAUGAAGCAUCAGUUUCUUGGUAGCUGAGUGGAUGAUGCGGGAGGUAAGUUGGACCUUAUGCUGCCUAUGCUUGGACUGAAGGGAGCUCCCUUAGUUACAAAC
rfam:Ananas comosus cultivar MD2 ACMD2_Scaffold_77, whole genome shotgun sequence.